UACGGGGGGGGCAAGCGUUGUUCGGAAUUACUGGGCGUAAAGGGCUCGUAGGCGGCCAACUAAGUCAGACGUGAAAUCCCUCGGCUUAACCGGGGAACUGCGUCUGAUACUGGAUGGCUUGAGUUUGGGAGAGGGAUGCGGAAUUCCAGGUGUAGCGGUGAAAUGCGUAGAUAUCUGGAGGAAUACCUGAGGGGAAGCCGGCUGCCUGGCCUAACACUGACACUCAGACCCGAAAGUGUGGGGAUCAAACAGG
rnacentral:rRNA from 1 species